GUUUUUAUUAAUUUGUUUGUAUCAGUAUGAUUGUUUAAAGCGUUUUUAUUUAAAGGCGAGUGGAUGGCAGUCGCUCAUCUGCAACAAGCAGCAUAUAGCUGCUGCCACAGAGAGACACGAGCUAGGCUAACUGCCAGGCUCUUCCUGCCAAACACUCUUUUACAUACAGUUCACAGGGUUUGUAGAAUGGAUUCAAUGAUGAUCCUUCCGCAGGUUCACCUACGGAAA
rnacentral:misc_RNA from 1 species